GCCCAUAGUCCUUCCUCUUAUUCUUCCAUAAAAGUUCUCAAGCUUCAUCCAUGGUUUGGCUGUGGGUGUCUGCAUCUGUCUCAGUCA